ensembl:snRNA U6 U6 spliceosomal RNA
GUGUUUACUUUAACAACACAUAUGUAAAGUUUAAUGAUACAGAGAUUAGCAUGGCCUCUGUGUAAGCAUGACACUCGUUUUAUAUGUUCUGCUUGUUGCU